CCUACGGGAGGCAGCAGUGAGGAAUAUUGGUCAAUGGGCGCGAGCCUGAACCAGCCAAGCAGCGUGAAGGAUGAAUGCCCUCCGGUUUGUAAACUCCUUUUAUAAAGGAAUAAAUUAAGGCACUUGUGCCUUUUUCUCUGUACUUUAUGAAUCAGGCUCGGCUAACUCCGUGCCAGCAGCCGCGGUAAUACGGAGGCUCCGAGCGUUAACCGGAUUUAUUGGGUUUAAAGGGAGCGUAGAUGGGUUGUUAAGUCAGUUGUGAAAGUUUGCGGCUCAACCGUAAAAUUGCAAUUGAUACUGGCAGCCUUGAGUACAGUAGAGGUAGGCGGAAUUCGUGGUGUAGCGGUGAAAUGCGUAGAGAUCACGAGGAACUCCGAUUGCGAAGGCAGCUUACUAGACUGCCACUGACAUUGAUGCUCGAAAGUGUGGGUAGCAAACAGGAUUAGAUACCCUUGUAGUC
rnacentral:rRNA from 1 species